UACGAAGGGGGCUAGCGUUGCUCGGAAUUACUGGGCGUAAAGGGAGCGUAGGCGGAUAGUUCAGUCAGAGGUGAAAGCCCAGGGCUCAACCUUGGAACUGCCUUUGAUACUGGCUAUCUUGAGUUUGGGAGAGGUGUGUGGAACUCCGAGUGUAGAGGUGAAAUUCGUAGAUAUUCGGAAGAACACCAGUGGCGAAGGCGACACACUGGCCCAAUACUGACGCUGAGGCUCGAAAGCGUUGGGAGCAAACAGG
rnacentral:rRNA from 1 species